rnacentral:rRNA from 1 species
GCUUAGCCUUAAACCUCAGUAGUUAAAACAACAAAACUACUCGCCAGAAUACUACAAGCAAUGGCUUGAAACUCAAAGGACUUGGCGGUGCUUCACAUCCCCCUAGAGGAGCCUGUCCCGUAAUCGAUAAACCCCGAUCCACCCCACCCUCUCUUGCUCAGCCUAUAUACCGCCAUCUUCAGCGAACCCUGAUAAAGGUUACAAAGUGAGCGCAAAUGUCCCCUUUCACAAAAACGUUAGGUCAAGGUGUAGCCCAUGAGAUGGUAAAAGAUGGGCUACAUUUUCUACCUCAGAAAACCCUACGAUAACUCUUAUGAAAUCUAAGAGCCCAAGGAGGAUUUAGCAGUAAAUUAAGAAUAGAGUGCUUAAUUGAACUAGGCCAUAAAGCACGC